UACGUAGGUGGCAAGCGUUGUCCGGAUUUACUGGGCGUAAAGGGAGCGUAGGCGGAUUUUUAAGUGGGAUGUGAAAUACCCGGGCUCAACCUGGGUGCUGCAUUCCAAACUGGAAAUCUAGAGUGCAGGAGGGGAAAGUGGAAUUCCUAGUGUAGCGGUGAAAUGCGUAGAGAUUAGGAAGAACACCAGUGGCGAAGGCGACUUUCUGGACUGUAACUGACGCUGAGGCUCGAAAGCGUGGGGAGCAAACAGG
rnacentral:rRNA from 1 species